rnacentral:snRNA from 16 species
UUAGACCUUGUUGGGGCUGCCGUGAUCAAGAAGACGGUCGGCCUACUAGGCUGCCCUGCAUUGCACAACGCGGAGGUGGCUUGGUAUGAAUCUCCUUCGGGGGCUUCACCGGCGCAAUUUUUGAUGGCUUCCAUUGCGAUGGCAA